rnacentral:lncRNA from 1 species
UCAGACAAUAAAUGGUGUGUUUUUUCAUUACUAGAAAUAAAUCGAAGCGACGCUUUGUGGAUCAAUGCAUGACCACGUGGCGUAUGCUUACAGGCCCUACAUUCUUUCCCAGGCAUUAUCUUAUCGGAAGAGUCAGUAGGAGUCUUUCCCCAUGACUACUUGCAUUGAAAAGUAUGAGGCAAAGAUGCCACCUAAACAAUUGCCUCAGAUCGAUAAGCCCAAACAAUUGCCUCAGAUCGGCAAGUGCAAACAAUUGCUUCAGAUUGGCAAAUACGAACAACUACCUCCGAUCGGCAUGAAUGAGCAAUUGCCCAUGAUCGAUCCUAAUUUAAAAUCGACUUGGCUACAUUGAUGUUUCUUUGCUCGAAACACUCCUACUUUCUACGAUUAGAGCUAAGUUCACUACUGAGCCUAGUGUCCUAGAUCAGCUUGCAUGUUGAAUAAGAGUGUGCAAUCGCAAGUGAAAAGCAGAAAGUAAAAAGAUGAACGAACUUUAUUCAUACA